UCUUUAACUCUCCAUGUCAAUAAAGUUAGAUUUCUCUGUAUCGGUUGAGUUUGUGAACUUUUCUUACAAAAUUUAAAUGUCAAUAUAAAAGGAAAUAAGAAUUUCUUACGAGAAAUGCUUACGUAAUAGAUGGUACUGAUUUAAAGACUGGGCAUUUGAAAAAAUGUCGAAUUAUCAAGUCACAUACUUAUACAUACGGAGGUAAUAUUCGAGAGGUUAGGAAUGUGAAUAUAAACGUAUUUACAAAUGAAUUUUGUGACGCUUCUACCAUUAAAACUUUCGUCGAAGAAUUUAUCCAUGAUGAUCAGGAAAAAAUUGCACGUGAAAUUGAAUAUCCCGACGUUGCUGAUCAUGCUGUUGAUUGUCUUCUUAUGUAUACGUUAUUUGCCUUCCACAAAGUGUUCCCUGAACGAGCAAGAAGUAAGGAACAAGACAAAAUUCAGACUCAUAGUACUCAUACUGUCUAGUCCUGAUAACUUAGAACGAAGGGCAACAAUCAGGAAAACAUGGCUGGCUCAGAAGCAAGCCACGGUUAAGCAUUUCUUUGUAAUAGGAACUUUAGAUAUAUUGCCAGAGCAAAGAGAAACUCUGCAUUCUGAACAGCAGAAAUUUGAUGAUUUACUAUUAUUAUCAAGACUACCAGAUUCUUAUGGGACUCUAACAAAGAAAGUUUUAUACGCAUUCAAGGAAAUCUAUGAAUACUAUGAAUUUGACUUUGUGAUGAAAUGCGAUGAUGAUACAUUUGCCCUGGUACAUAAGAUUUUAAAAGAGCUAGAUAAGUGGGACAGCAAAGGCACAAAAAAGGAACUAUAUUGGGGAUUUUUUAAUGGAAAGGCACAUGUCAAAAGGAGUGGACCAUGGAAAGAGGCAGAUUGGAUAUUAUGUGAUUAUUAUCUUCCUUAUGCGCUUGGAGGAGGAUAUAUUUUAUCUUAUAAUUUAGUAAAAUUUAUUGCUAUAAAUGCAGACAUUUUAAAAUUGUACAAAGCAGAAGAUGUGUCUGUUGGUGUUUGGAUAGCACCUUUGGCAAAUAUUGAAAGAAAACACGACAUACGUUUUAACACAGAAUACAGAUCGCGUGGAUGUUCUAAUCAGUAUAUAGUUACACAUAAACAGACCAUUGAAAACAUGAAAAAUAUGCAUGAAUAUUAUCAAGCAUCUGGAGUAUUAUGUAUAAAAGAAAUAAGAAAUCACAUGAGCUACCAAUAUAAUUGGACAGUUCCACCUAGUCAAUGUUGCAAUUUACGAUCAGGCAUUCCAUAGUAAUCAAAUCUCUUCUUUUCAUACAUCUGAUAUUCUAGUCAUUUCUUCAUUUUAAAUUGUUAUGCAAAUUUGUACUCAACCACUAAAUUUAUUAGUAAUUACUCUCAUAAAUUUUUUAUUUAUUUAUCAAACAUGAUUAUAAUAAUUCAAUCUAAAUAACGAGAUGCUUCAUAGUUUUCAUAGUUAGUUAAUCAAGAAAUGAAUAACGAUAAAUGAGUUUUGUAGUUAAUCCAACGCAUGCAAAGUGGAACCAUUCUAUAGGACACUAUACCAAAAGAGAAUAUUGUUAAAAGAUUACAAAUAUUUAAAGAGAUAUUUGAGAUAAUAUACACUUACGUCUGGAUUAUCACAACCAAUCAUUUCUCCAUAAGAAACUUGAUGACACAGACAAUAAGUUGGUUCAUUAGGAUCUACUGGCAUGUCUAAAACAUCUGCUGGAUGGCCAAGUGCAGUAGAAUCUACUUGAGCACCACUUCCAACAGCCCCAGCUGACGAAGCAGAAGCAACAGAUCCUCCUGAAAUUAUGUUCAAUGAAUUAUAAUCUUUUCAUGAAUAUAGAUGAAACACAAUAUCAACUAA